rnacentral:piRNA from 1 species
UAAACUGGCUCUGAGCAUGCAUGAAGCAUC